AUAAGGAGCUGUUAUAAGGAGAUUAGAAAUUGUAAAGGAUGGGUAAAAUAGGGGACUGGGUGUUGAAGGAGAUAGGGAAGGGCUUAAUAGGAGCUGGGGAAAUUGGGCCCUGCUCAACAGUGAGGUCCUCCUCUCCAUGCCCAUGCCAGGAACUGGGAAGUGAAAUUGUGCAAAGUCUGGGGCCAGGGGGAGGAAAGAAGCAAAAAGAGAAAGAAAUCCAAGCUAAGAAGAAGGAGGAAAAAGGAACUGAAAAUCUUUUAUCAUGGAAUUUCUGUACCAACUUCCCUAAACAAUGGGGAAAUUAUUUAUUUACUUAUACGUUUGUUUGUUUGUUUGUUUUGAGGGAAAUGGUUCAAAAUAAAUCAUGUGCCCUGCUUGUUUGGAGCUAAAAAAUGGAGAAGGAGUUGAUUCUACUACAGCUGCUGGGUUUUUGUUUGUUCCUUCCAGCAAGGCUGGAAUUCGAAAUAAUCAUCAUCAAAAAAUAAUAUCAGGCAGAAAUUGACUAAAAAACAGCAGGACUUUUUCAUUCCUGGGCCAGUGUUGAAAACUAUGUUGGCUCUCCUCACUCAAAGCAAAGGAAAUCUGGUUUUGUUUAGAAUUAACUGCUUGUUUUACCUAUUUGUUUUUGCCUACUUAUGAUCCCUCUGACGUUUGCAGGAGGAAGGGCUCUGGCCUGGUUCAGGUGAAAGCUCUCUAAGAUGAAAAAAAUUCUCCUAGUCCCAAUAAGGGAAGUCAGAAAUCCUAACUUAGAAGCACCAGGGAGAGUGGACACUGGAAAUAUGCAAACUCAUUCACUGGAAAGCUACCAAUGUCUACAAGUGCUGAAAUGAAAACCUGACACAACAGAUCAGUCAGCACUUAGUACUGAAUAAAUCAGCAGGCCUCAGUGUUAAUCGCUGCAGCCAUCCAUGAACUCUCACAGAGUGUAGAAACACUGUCUGUUCUGCCUAGAACUUUUUUGGUUUGUUUUUUUUGGGGGGAGGGAUGAUGUUUACUCAUAUGGUGGGAGGAUCAUAUGCUGUAUUGUUUUCUGCCUGUCUUGAGUCUGAAGAAAUGUGAAGAGAAGCAGCAUAAUUGUUCAGAAAGCUGUUAGAAUAAGAAAAUGAAAAGAACAAAGGGAGAAGAUAUUGAGAAUCUGAACUCUCAUAAUGUCACAAGCAGGAAAAUUAACACAUGCAUCUCUAGGGUGAGCUGUUCUUCCCAAAAGGUUGGCUGUGACCAACCAGCCAUAGCAUAGGUUAUAAAACAUGCAGUAGGAUCUAAGAUUUUGGGGUGAGUAUAUGGUCAUACAUGUCAUCUGAUGGUUCUCCCAGUACUGCUCUGAGCAGAGCCAACACUACAAGAUCACAAAAACCCCCUCUAGUAGAGCAGGAUCCUGCUAUUGAUUCACAAUGUGGAAAAGGCCCUGUUUUAACUCUUGCACUUGUUUCAUACGGUGUGCUACUACAGAUGGGUUAUCCCAUUUCAUAUGUACUUCUUGCUUACACUUCCCUGAAUUUCUCCUCCAGCUUUUCAGUUUGCAUAUGGGAACACUAAUAAAAAUGAGUACUAUUAAAAUAAUCCACAAAUAUUAGUAAUUAAAGUAAGUAAUGAGUGAUGAUAAUGAGUAUUAUGAAAGCCAACAGAAUAUUCUUUUUGCCUCAGCUGAAGGCAAAGAGGAGCACCAUGUUGCUUUUUUUCAUCAGGCAUUACAACGCAGCAGGGAGCAGGCACAUGAGGACAAUUUUCAGUGGUCUUUUGGGUACAGUAAGUCACAGUGGGCUUUGAAUGCAGUGAGGAAAAUAAAAAAAUGCUUCGGUGGGCACAGCUGCUUUGUGUGGUGCUGUUGCAGUGCCAGAUCCCAGCUACCGGGUAAGGAUCUUCAGGUCUAUCCACGAGGCUGGAAAGCAAGAAAAGAUGCUCAUUAAAUAGGGAUUAUGGUUCUGUCAGCCUGUUUAAUUAGUCUGGUCUACUUGAAAAGCAGAUGAGCGGUUGGUUAUUUUCACAGCAUGUUUUCUGCCAGGCUGUAGUGAGGAAAUUAACUGAAACGAGGUCUAUGCUACGGGUAGGCACAGAGGGACCAGUAUGAGUCCUGGGACACUGAGGAGACAUGUGAGAGCUGUGGGGACAUGUAGGGCCAUGGCGAGCUGUGUAUGCUGAGAUGUGGGAGAUAUGGAGACACUGAGGGGGACAUUGAGGGGGACACCAAAGGGACAUGUGAGAGCUAGGUACACUGAGAGGCACCAAGGGGAUGCUGAAGGGACACAUAAGAGCCUCGAAGACAACAAGGGGGACACUGAGGGGGACAUUGGGGAGAUAUGUGAGAGCAAUGGAGACACUGAGCGGGACAAGGAGGGUGACACUGAGGAGACGUGAGAGCUAGGUACACUGAGGGGCACACCAAGGGAUGCUGAGGGGACAUAGGAGAGCUGUACAGACACCAAGGGGUGCGCUGAGGGGACAUGUGAGAGCCGUGGGGACGUGAAGGGGGUCUCCAAGGGGGACUUCAACGGCAACACGGAGGGGUUAUGUGUGAGCUCUAGAGACGCUGAGAGACGCGUGUGAAAGCGACGUAGGCACCAAAGAGAAUACUGAGGGAACUUGUGAGAGCCGUGGGAGCUCUGAGGGGGCUUUCAAGGGAGCCUCGGGACGCUGAGGCGACACAAGCACGUCGCUGGGGAGCGCGAAGGGGACGCGCGGAACCGCGGGCGCUGAGGAGAGC
rnacentral:lncRNA from 1 species